rnacentral:lncRNA from 1 species
GGGAGCCAUCUGUAGUGACCAGAUUGAUGAAUGCUACAGCAGCCCCUGCCUGAAUGAUGGACGCUGCAUCGACCUGGUGAACGGCUACCAGUGCAACUGCCAACCGGGUACCUCAGGCCUUAAUUGUGAAAUUAAUUUUGAUGACUGUGCCAGCAACCCUUGUCUGCACGGAGCCUGUGUGGACGGCAUCAACCGUUACAGUUGUGUGUGCUCUCCGGGAUUCACAGGUUUGCAAUCUGCUUCUGUUCUGCUCUGAACCAGUUUCCUGUUUCCAGACCUUUGCUAAGUGGAAACACAGCACUUCCCUUAGCGUUUCAGGUCACGUGUUUCUUGCUACCUGAGAAUUCCUAGCAGACUGUAACUUUCCGUCACUGUGCUGGAGUUAAUGCCUCCAAAGCCACCUUUGUUUCCCUCCAGCCACUGCCUUCUGUAAAGCUGUGCCCAAGGUAAACCUGCAUGAAAACACUG